GGGGAUGUCACAAAAGUCUUGUCUCCCAAAACCGGAGCUGAAUAUGUAUCUGCAAGAGAAUGGAUGAGGAUUUGCUUUGAACUUUUAGAGCUCUUAAAAGCUCAUAAAAAAGCCAUUCUUAGAGCCACCGUCAACACAUUUGGUUAUAUUGCAAAGGCCAUUGGCCCUCAUGAUGUAUUGGCUACACUAUUAAACAACCUCAAAGUUCAGGAAAGGCAGAACAGAGUUUGUACCACUGUAGCAAUAGCUAUUGUUGCUGAAACGUGUUCACCCUUUACGGUACUCCCUGCCUUAAUGAAUGAAUACAGAGUUCCUGAACUGAAUGUUCAAAAUGGAGUGUUAAAAUCACUUUCCUUCUUGUUUGAGUAUAUUGGUGAAAUGGGAAAGGACUACAUUUAUGCUGUAACACCAUUACUUGAAGAUGCUUUAAUGGAUAGGGACCUUGUACACAGACAGACGGCUAGUGCAGUGGUACAACACAUGUCACUUGGUGUUUAUGGAUUUGGUUGUGAAGAUUCGCUGAAUCACUUGUUGAACUAUGUAUGGCCCAAUGUAUUUGAGACAUCUCCCCAUGUAAUUCAGGCAGUUAUGGGAGCUCUAGAGGGCCUGAGAGUUGCUAUUGGACCAUGUAGAAUGUUGCAGUAUUGUUUGCAGGGUCUGUUUCACCCAGCCCGGAAAGUCAGAGACGUGUAUUGGAAAAUUUACAACUCCAUUUACAUUGGUUCACAGGAUGCUCUCAAAGCACAUUACCCAAGAAUCUACAAUGAUGAUAAGAACACCUAUAUUCAUUAUGAACUUGACUAUAUCUUAUAAUUUUAUUGUUUAUUUUGUGUUUAAUGCACAGCUGUUUCACACUUUAAACUUGCUUCGAUUUGGUGAUGUAAACUUUUAAACAUUGCAGAUCAGUAUAGAACUGGUCAUAGAGGAAGAGAUAGAAAUCCAAUAGCAUGAUUUUUAAAUAACCUGUCUUUGUUUUUGAUGUUAAAAAGUAAACGCCAGUAGUGACCAAGAACAGUGAUUAUACACGCUAUACUGGAGGGAUUUCAUUUUUAAUUCAUCUUUAUGAAGAUUUAGAAUUCAUUCCUUGUGUUUAAAGGGAAUGUUUAAUUGAGAAAUAAACAUUUGUGUACAAAA